UGUGAGGAGGGGAGGUCUGUUGAAGGGCUGUGAGGAGGGGAGGUCUGUUGAAGGACUGGGAGGAGGGGAGGUCUGUUGAAGGACUGUGAGGAGGGGAGGUCUGUUGAAGGACUGUGAGGAGGGGAGGUCUGUUGAAGGACUGUGAGGAGGGGUGGUCUGUUGAAGGACUGUGAGGAGGGGAGGUCUGUUGAAGGACUGGUGUGUGGCCGGCAGCGAGUUGCCACAUCGUCAUCCUCAGCACAGGCAUCUUCUUCAUCACCUCAGAGUGUGUGUCUGUGUGUCUGUGUGUGUGUGUGUGUCUGUGUGUGUGUGUGUGUGUGUGUGUUGUGUGUGUGUGUGUGUGUGUGUGUGUGGCUGGGUGGGUUACAUUCUGAGUGUAAUUUGUCACUAGAUACCCGUCCAAAAUUGUAAUCGGUAACAUAACUGUUGGGAUUACCCAAACUCAGUGACAUAACUGUUGGGAUUACCCAAACUCAGGAACAUAACUGUUGGGAUUACCCAAACUCAGGAACAUAACUGUUGGGAUUACCCAAACUCAGUAAUGUAACUGUUGGGAUUACCCAAACUCAGUAAUGUAACUGUUGGGAUUACCCAAACUCAGGAACAUAACUGGCUGUGUAGUGUGUUAUAGCUGUAUAGAGCUGUGUAGUGUGUUAUAGCUGUAUAGAGUUGUGUAGUGUGUUAUAGCUGUAUAGAGCUGUGUAGUGUGUUAUAAAGUUGUGUAGUGUGUUAUAGCUGUAUAGAGCUGUGUAGUGUGUUAUAGAGCUGUGUAGUGUGUUAUAGAGCUGUGUAGUGUGUUAUAGAGCUGUGUAGUCUGUUAUAGAGCUGUGUAGUGUGUUAUAGAGCUAUGUAGUGUGUUAUAGAGCUGUGUAGUGUGUUAUAGCUGUAUAGAGCUGUGUAGUGUGUUGUAGCUGUAUAGAGUUGUGUAGUGUGUUAUAGCUGUAUAGUGCUGUGUAGUGUGUUAUAGAGCUGUGUAGUGUGUUAUAGAGCUGUGUAGUGUGUUAUAGAGCUGUGUAGUGUGUUAUAGCUGUAUAGAGUUGUGUAGUGUGUUAUAGCUGUAUAGAGCUGUGUAGUGUGUUAUAGCUGUAUAGAGCUGUGUAGUGUGUUAUAGAGCUGUGUAGUGUGUUAUAGCUGUAUAGAGCUGUGUAGUGUGUUAUAGGCUGUGUAGUGUGUUAUAGCUCUGUAUAGAGCUGUGUAGUGUGUUAUAGCUGUAUAGAGCUGUGUAGUGUGUUAUAGCUGUAUAGAGCUGUGUAGUGUGUUAUAGAGCUGUGUAGUCUGUUAUAGAGCUGUGUAGUGUGUUAUAGCUGUAUAGAGCUGUGUAGUGUGUUAUAGCUGUAUAGAGCUGUGUAGUGCUGUGUAGUCUGUUAUAGAGCUGUGUAGUGUGUUAUAGAGCUGUGUAGUCUGUUAUAGAGCUGUGUAGUGUGUUAUAGCUGUAUAGAGCUGUGUAGUGUGUUAUAGCUGUAUAGAGCUGUGUAGUGUGUUAUAGCUGUAUAGAGCUGUGUAGUGUGUUAUAGAGCUGUGUAGUCUGUUAUAGAGCUGUGUAGUGUGUUAUAGCUGUAUAGAGCUGUGUAGUGUGUUAUAGAGCUGUGUAGUCUGUUAUAGAGCUGUGUAGUGUGUUAUAGCUGUAUAGAGCUGUGUAGUGUGUUAUAGAGCUGUGUAGUCUGUUAUAGAGCUGUGUAGUGUGUUAUAGCUGUAUAGAGCUGUGUAGUCUGUUAUAGCUGUAUAGAGCUGUGUAGUGUGUUAUAGCUGUAUAGAGCUGUGUAGUGUGUUAUAGCUGUAUAGAGCUGUGUAGUGUGUUAUAGCUGUAUAGAGCUGUGUAGUGUGUUAUAGCUGUAUAGAGCUGUGUAGUGUGUUAUAGCUGUAUAGAGC
rnacentral:lncRNA from 1 species